AGCCUAACAGCUAGCUCAACCAAACAAAGACAACAAUCAAUACCAAUAACCCCUAACAUAAUAUAAAUGUGCAAACAAACCAUUUUUCCCCCUAAGUACGGGCGACAGAAAAGGAACAUGAAGCAACAAAAAAAGUACCGUAAGGGACUGCUGAAAGAGAAAUGAAAUAACUCAGUAAAGCUGACAAAAGUAGAGAUAUAAACUCGUACCUUUUGCAUCAUGAUUUAGCCAGUGUAAUCUAAGCAAAGCGAGCUUUAGUUUAUUACCCGAAACUAAGUGAGCUACUCCAAGACAGCCUAUCUAAUAGGGCCAACCCGUCUCUGUGGCAAAAGAGUGGGAAGAGCUUUGAGUAGAGGCGACAAACCUAUCGAACUUAGUUAUAGCUGGUUGCCUAAGAAUUGAAUAGUAGUUCAGCCCCUUGGCUUCUACAUUUACUUUAGUUUUUACUACUUCAAAUAAAUAGAAACCUUGGGAGUUAUUCAAAGGGGGUACAGCCCCUUUGAAAUAAGAUACAACUUUUUCAGAAGGAUAAAGAUCACA
rnacentral:rRNA from 1 species